rnacentral:tRNA from 1 species
GGGAACGUGGCUCAGUGGUAAAGUGCUUGCCUUGCAUGCAUGAGGCCCUGGGUUCGAUUCCUCAGCACCA